CGUGAACCCUGUCAACAUUGAGUUGUUCAAUUUCGCCGGAGCUCCUCAAAAUCUGACUAAACGCUUUACUGAGCUUAUCUUCCUGCAGAACUCCAACUUCCUCCCACUGCAGCUUCCACCACACCUACAAUGUUUUGUCCCAGCUUCAGCUUACUCUAAGCUCAAUGAGUCAGAGAGUGUGGUUGUCCUGGGCAACCUGAACCAAUCCUGUACUAACGUAGACUCAGAGAUUUCUUCUGCACUGCCAUCGAAUAUCCAAAUUCGUCCUGGAUCAAAGUCCGGGAUCAAUCACGGCCCUGGGCCCGCAGGUCACAAGUCUGAACACUGGACAGAUCACUAAAACCCCGCCCAGUGUGAUUUUACAAUCCCUGAGUACUCUGAGUAGUGUUUCUGGAUGGAACUUGGGACAGUCCUUGUCCAUCAUACAGAUUCCUCAUCACCCAAAACUUCCAGUUGAUUCACUUCUUAAUAGGUUUAUUGCUAGUGGCCUAUUGGUUGUGAGCAUCAUUCACAACCAUGAUUCAUGCUUUAAACCAUUCCAUCCUCUCUACUUCCAAUGUAGAGGAUAUUUCAUAAUUUAAUGUUCUCUUUCUUCAGAUAAACAACACCGACAGUCUAAUAAACCUGGGCUCUUUAGUGGGAGGUCUUCCAACCCAAACACUCACCGCAAUACCCGAGCAGCAGGUUCUGACAACAUCCGCCUACCCAAAAUGUGUUACCAACAUGCUGACUGCUCCAACAAUUGUGCAGCAGAUCUAUGUUAAUAAGAUCAUCAGUCGACAUGAAACCAACGGAACUGAUAGUCAAUGUCCCAGAUGAAAUGGCAACCGACAUUCCCAGCAAUCUACUGAAUUUCCCAACAACUGGAAAUCAAACUCACUGCUCUGAACAUCAACAAGAAAAAAUGGAGACCUCAGCAGGCUGUGCUGUUCUUUGAUACAGUAGCAAAUGGGUUGGAUGAGCCUGAUGACCUUUCUGAGUACGUGCUUCAAGGAUUCAUUUGCUCUCGUGUCCAGACUUUCACCAAAACAAGAAUUAAACCUCUCAUCAGAGCUUGCAGACGUAGAGCCGGUCGAAGAAAGGUGGUUCUCAAGGAGACACCGCUACACCAACAUGCAACAGACCGACUGCAGAUCCUACUUCAUUGAAACAGGAUGAGCAGACUUCUCCGCCCUGUCCAGCACGUUGGAUGGAAGAAAGGUUGAUCUACUGAACAAAUUUCAAAAAGUGCCUGAACAUCAAAGGGACACAGCUCAGUCGAGAUAAUGUCGAGGUACUGGGCAACAUGGCAUGUGCUCUGGAUGAAGACUACAUUCAGAGCGCUGACUCUUACAUCCUGGAGAAACUAAAGAACUGCAAUGACUUCUCCGAUCAGCAGAUUACAGCUAUGGAGACUGUUAUCUGCAGUGGCAACACCACAUAUGGUGGAAUAGAAGCAAGUUCCUGAAGAAAUUCAUGAAAAGACUAUGUACAAACAAGACAAUGAAGAGGAAACUGAAGAAGCUGUUCAAAGAAUGCACCAUGUCUUUGAGAUCCAAACGAAGCACUGGCCAAAGUUAUUGUCACCAAGUUCUUAAGUGCUGGCAAUUCGCUUGGAGCCUCUGAAUUGAAUUCAAUUGGAGGGCCUAACCUGUGCCCACUGGACCUCAGUGUGUUGCAAGGCAUCAGAAAUGACAGUCUCCGAGAUGCAGAUGCUCUGGAAAUCACUAGCUGUUCCUCAGCACAUAAGAAGGCCUUCUUUGCAGUAGCUGAGAUCGCCUUUCCUAUCAACUUCAUCCAAACCUGCGCCACUGCAGAUCAGCUAACAUCCUACCAGACGUAGCUGGGAGGUGCCAUUAUCACCUACAUCCGGAGUCUGUCUAGGGUGAAUAUUAGCAUGGACAUCAACACUUUUAUUGGUUUGGAUUCAGCUGCUGUCCAGGCUCGUAGUGUGAGUGAAGUGUCUGGACUCCUCGGCUCCAACCUAAAUUGACUGAAAACCUUUGAGAAUACCACUGUAAUGCAGAACUGGGUGUCAAAGCAGUUAGUCUGAGCUUGACAAGCUGGGUAUCAGUCUGACCGGAGGAAGGGUGAAUUCAAACACCACCCCAUGACAACAAAUACUGCCACCACCAUCAAAAAUACAACUUCCAGCCAGAGCAGAGGCACAUAUCCAGCUCCUUCUGCUUUUCCUGUUUGGUCUCUUGUUCAUUGCAGUGCAAAUGUAGAUUAUAAUAUUGCAAGAGAAGCAUUAUAAUUUAGACCAAAUUGCAUAAUUAUCAUAUCACGUCUUAAUAUUACAUCUAUUUUUGUAAUCUAUUUUUAAAGAAGACAUUAAAGCUGACGUUAUAUUUAACAGCCAAAUGAGUGCAGUAUGCAAUAAAUAUCCCAUAUAAUAUAUAGUGUUCUAUCA